CAUAGAUGCUGCCUCACCCGCUGAGUUUCUCCAGCAUUUUGUGUUCCAAAGCAUCUCUUUUGCUGUUCCCAUCAUUAAAAAUGUAGAAAAGUACUGGAGUAGGUUGGAGAUCUCAGAACCUGAGGUGACGUUUCA